rnacentral:miRNA from 4 species
GGAAUGUUGGCUGGCUCGAGG